rnacentral:rRNA from 1 species
UACGGAGGAUCCAAGCGUUAUCCGGAGUGACUGGGCGUAAAGAGUUGCGUAGGUGGCAAUGUAAGCGAGUAAUGAAAUAGUGUGGCUCAACCAUACUGCUAUUAUUUGAACUGUAUUGCUUGAGAGCGAGAGAGGUAGAUGGAAUUCCCAGUGUAGGAGUAAAAUCCGCAGAUAUUGGGAGGAACACCAAUGGCGUAGGCAGUCUACUGGCUCGUAUCUGACACUGAGGCACGAAAGCGUGGGGAGCGAACCGG